rnacentral:rRNA from 1 species
UAAAUCAGUUAUCGUCUAUUUGAUAGUACCUUACUACUCGGAUAACCGUGGUAAUUCUAGAGCUAAUACGUGCUGAAAACCCCGACUUCGGAAGGGGUGUAUUUAUUAGAUUAAAAAGCCAAUGCCCCCCCGGGGCCCCUUGGUGAUUCAUGAUAACUCCUCGAAUCGCACGGCCUUGCGCCGGCGAUGGUUCAUUCAAAUUUCUGCCCUAUCAACUUUCGACGGCUGGGUCUUGGCCAGCCGUGGUGACAACGGGUAACGGAGGGUUAGGGCUCGACCCCGGAGAAGGAGCCUGAGAAACGGCUACUACAUCCAAGGAAGGCAGCAGGCGCGCAAAUUACCCAAUCCCGACGCGGGGAGGUAGUGACAAUAAAUACUGAUACAGGGCUCUUUCGGGUCUUGUAAUUGGAAUGAGUACAAUUUAAUUCCCUUAACGAGGAACAAUUGGAGGGCAAGUCUGGUGCCAGCAGCCGCGGUAAUUCCAGCUCCAAUAGCGUAUAUUAAAGUUGUUGCAGUUAAAAAGCUCGUAGUUGAACCUUGGGCCUGGCUGGCCGGUCCGCCUCACCGCGUGCACUGGUCCGGCCGGGCCUUUCCCUCUGGGGAACCGCAUGCCCUUCGCUGGGCGUGCCGGGGAACCAGGACGUUUACUUUGAAAAAAUUAGAGUGUUCAAAGCAGGCUUAUGCUCGGAUACAUUAGCAUGGAAUAAUGGAAUAGGACGUGCGGUUCUAUUUUGUUGGUUUCUAGGACCGCCGUAAUGAUUAAUAGGGACAGUCGGGGGCAUCCGUAUUCAGUUGUCAGAGGUGAAAUUCUUGGAUCUACUGAAGACGAACUACUGCGAAAGCAUUUGCCCAAGGAUGUUUUCAUUAAUCAGGAACGAAAGUUAGGGGAUCGAAGACGAUCAGAUACCGUCGUAGUCUUAACCAUAAACUAUGCCGACUAGGGAUCGGACGGUGUUGCUUUUUGACCCGUUCGGC